rnacentral:lncRNA from 1 species
CGAAAAUGUAUACAAACUGCAUUAGUAAGAUAGCAUAACAAAAUAUCACAGGCCAUAAUUUCUUCACAGACAUGUAACAAAGAUAUACAAACCAAAAUACCUUUGUGCAAAAUCUGUAAAUGAGUUAACUGUAUGCAACGCCUCAGGUAAGUACAAUACUAAGAACCACAUGGCUGGUGUACACCUUCUGUCAUCCUCAAGCCUUCAGUCAUGUUGUGAUGUGGAAGUAUGAUUCUCAUCAGAUGGGAAUGGCAUGCUCUUGGACUUCCUGGCAUCCAGGAUUGUGCGCUAAGCAAACUUUUAUUCUUUAUAAAUUACCAACUCUAGGAUAUUGUUAUUGAAGCAAAAAAUAAAGCAUUUACAAAAUGUUUGAAUAGAUUUAUAAAAUCAACCAUAUGCUGCACACAAGAGACCAACCUUGGCAAAAUAAACUUUCUAAAUUAACUGAGACCUGUCUCAAAAAUAUGAACAUAUAUUAACAGAUGUAGAAAAACAGACAAAUAUGAUAAUACUAGGGAACUUUAUUGCCCUACUUAAUACAACACAUCAUUCAGACAGAAAACAAUGUACUUGCAUAGCACUAAAGAACUACACCUAAAAGACAUAUAUAGGUAACAUUUCACCCAACAGUAUAACUUAUAUUCUUCUCAAACACACAUGGAACAUUCUCCAGGAUACAUCAUAAAUCUGGAGAGCCUCAACAUCCCAGCCUUCAAGUGAUCCUCUUGCCUCAGCCCCAGCUGGGACUACAGGUAUGCACCACCUUGCCAAGCUAAUUUUUUUUUAUUUUUGGUAGACAUAAGAUUUCACCAUAUUGCCCAGGCUGGUGUCGAACCCCUGAGCUCAAGCGAUCUGCCCUCUGUGGCCUCCCAAAGUAUUAGGAUUACAGGUGUGAGCCACCGCACCUGGUCUGAUAUCUUUAUUCUAACACCAAAUAUAUGGAGUUUGCUGAACACCAACCAAACUUCUAUCACCAACUGGGUGUCCAACAACUCAAUUCUGACAACACCACGGUCAGCACAGACCCCACCGUCUCAGGGCUCAGUUCCACAAUAUUGCUUCCCUCCACAUGCCAGUCACAAGCCCCAAGGACCCAUCUAUACUUCAGAGCAACUGUCUAUAAAUCAUGGGCUUCCAGAACUCCCUCCCUCAAGUUAAAGGAUUUGAUAAAACUACUCACAGAACUUAAUGAAAAAACUUUACCUAUGUUUACCAGAUUACUAAUAUUGGAUACAAUUCAGUAAAAGCCAAAGGGAAAAAAUAUAUAGGACAAAAGAAAGUGCGGGAAAAGAGGAGGUGGGUUAGUGAAUCUUGGUAGUUAUAACUAUGGUCUCUCCAAUCCUUUGUGCCCUAUCAAAAAAGCUUACUGCUAAUAAAUCACCUUUUCAUUGACUUUGAUGAUGCUCCCUCUUUAGAUAUC